GAUGAACGCUAGCGGCAGGCUUAACACAUGCAAGUCGAGGGGCAGCACGUCUUCGGAUGGUGGCGACCGGCGCACGGGUGCGUAACGCGUAUAGAAUCUACCUUUUACAGGGGAAUAGCCCAGAGAAAUUUGGAUUAAUGCCCCAUAGUAUUAUAGAAUGGCAUCAUUUUAUAAUUAAACAUUUAUGGGUAAAAGAUGACUAUGCGUUCUAUUAGCUAGUAGGUAAGGUAACGGCUUACCUAGGCGACGAUAGAUAGGGGUCCUGAGAGGGAGAUCCCCCACACUGGUACUGAGACACGGACCAGACUCCUACGGGAGGCAGCAGUGAGGAAUAUUGGACAAUGGGCGAGAGCCUGAUCCAGCCAUGCCGCGUGCAGGAAGACGGUCCUAUGGAUUGUAAACUGCUUUUAUACAGGAAGAAACACUCC
rnacentral:rRNA from 1 species